AGAGUUUGAUCCUGGCUCAGCCUGAACGCUGGCGGCGUGGCUAAGACAUGCAAGUCGAACGGAUGUAGCAAUACAUCAGUGGCGGACGGGUGAGUAAUGUAUCGCUAAUGUGCCCUUGAGCCAGGGAUAGCUGCCCGAAAGGGCAGGUAAUACCUGAUAAAGUGACCUUGUCGCAUGACACGGGUCCCCAAAGCAGCAAUGCACUCUUGGAGCAGGCGAUAUCGUAUCAGCUAGUUGGUGAGGUAACGGCUCACCAAGGCAAUGACGCGUAGCUGGUCUGAGAGGACGACCAGCCACAUCGGGACUGAGACACUGCCCGGACUCCUACGGGGGGCUGCAGUAACGAAUCUUCCGCAAUGCACGAAAGUGUGACGGAGCGACGCCGCGUGUAGGAUGAAGUCCUUCGGGAUGUAAACUACUGUCAGGGGAAAGAAAGUUCUGAUCUACCCCAGAGGAAGAGGCGGCUAACUCUGUGCCAGCAGCCGCGGUAAUACAGAGGCCUCAAGCGUUAGGCGGAAUCACUGGGCUUAAAGCGUGUGUAGGUGGAUGCCUAAGUACCUUGUGAAAUCCCACGGCUUAACCGUGGAAUGGCUGGGUAUACUGGGUGUCUUGAGCCACUCAGGGGCUACCGGAACAAACGGUGGAGCGGUGAAAUGCGUAGAUAUCGUUUGGAACGCCAAUGGUGAAAACAGGUAGCUGGGGGUGUGCUGACACUGAGACACGAAAGCCAGGGGAGCAACGGGAUUAGAUACCCUAGUAGUCC
rnacentral:rRNA from 1 species